UCCUGUAGUUUUCCCCUAUUUGACUGAUGCAUGUCAGACAACUGUAUCUUUUAGGUUUUCUAGGGAUGCAUUAAUUUGAUAUUAUUGGUCUAACAUGGAUGACUACGCCAGGUGCUUGUGUCAUCUGCAUGCUCCUCUUAUUAUUAUUAUUAUUAUUAUUAUUGUUAUAUAAUAAGAUGGUCGAUUCACAUCUUUCUAGCAUGAACACAUUAAAAAAAAAAUCAGAAAAUAUAAUAUCCCUU
rnacentral:lncRNA from 1 species